UUUAUAAACCAUCUCGUUAAAACAAAUUUCAGAAGAAGAAUAUCCAUGUCUACUAGAUACAAAUCGUCACCAGAGUUAACUUCAAACGGUAACCAUGAAACGAAAUCAAUAUUCGUCUCAAAUUCCCAGUCGACACUAGCAAAUAAUUUUCGAUCCCCAGUUUUCAAAAUUUUAGUAAGUGGUAGUUUAACUUAAUGAGCAAUGGGUUGCUGUCCAGCCCCUUGCUGUCCAGCUCCUUGCUGUCCAACAUUCUGCUGCGCACCAACUUGCUGUGUCUACGUGCCCUACGUUUAUCCUGUGUGUAUGCCAUGUUGCGUCCCGUGUUGCCCCCCACCCUGUUGUCCACCUUGUCCACCCUGUUAGUUUAGCCGUCGACACAGCAUUGGUGCUUCAGAAAUUAAAUUGUGAUAACUGUAACUGUAAUAAGUAAGGUCUAAAAUCAAGGAUGUAAUUUAAUGAACAAUAAAUAUUGUACAAAUAUA